rnacentral:tRNA from 1 species
GGGCCUGUAGCUCAGUUGGAUAGAGCAGUAGCCUCCUAAGCUAAAGGUCGGGGGUUCGAAUCCCCCCAGGCCCG